UCAUUUAUUCCACCAAUUAAAGCACAUUUUUAUAAAUACCAAAUUCAUUAAUAUGUAAAAACCUAAACUAACCUUACAUUUAUCUUCAACCAUCAUCUCCUCUUUUUCCACGCCGAGAUCCAUCUCGUCUCUUUCCAUAUCAAUCUUCUCUCUCCGUCGAGAUCCAUCGCCAUCUCUCUCUCACGCAGCCGCCGACGAUCGAUUACAGAGAACCGAUCAAAACUUCCAAAAUAUCGACUCUUGUACGAGAUUCACAACUUUUAGAUAGCAAUGAAUUUUGAAAUAGGAGAAGACACAAGAUGAAGAAGAGCAACAAGUGGAAGCUGAUACUGAAGUCGAAAAGACAAAGUUCAAAAAUCAAUGAAAUAAGCUAAUUUAUAAAUCUUUAUAAACUGAGACUGUCAGUUUUAAAAUUAUAAGCCUUUUAAAUCUGUUAUUGUUUUAUAAAUUGAUAAAGCUAAUUGAUGUGUAUGAACCUUUAUAAUAGGAUCAGAUAGAGGAGGAAGAAGGACAACAUGUAGAAGGUGAUACAGAAGUUGUUGACAGUGGUAAAAGAAGUGAAAUUUCAAAAAAAAUGAUGAAGAUAAAGAAGUAAAUGAAGAUGCAUCCAAAGAGCCCGGGAAAGUUAAAGUGAAGAAACAAGGAAAAAGAAAGAAGGGUCGGAUGGAAGAGGUUGAAGAAGUAAAUGAAGAUACAUCGAACGUGUGCGGGAAAAUUAUAAACAAGAAAAUGCAAAUUAAAAAAGAACAUACGAGGAAGAGGAAAAAAUGUAAAAGAAAUUUAAGAUCUAUUUACAAUGGUUUAUAGCAUUCUCUUUCACAUUUCAUUGAGUAUGUCCAAAGGAAAACAUGCAUGUUUACAAGUUCAUA